CACUGCUGCAGCUUCAGGUAAACACUGAAACGUCAGCUCCCACUGCAGAACACGCUUUAAUGUUCAGGUUAUGUGACCACAAAGCUGCUUUCAAUCAAACUGAUAUCAAUCAUAUCAAAAUAAUAAACCUUAAAUAGCUUCUUAAUGGACGGCGGCUAAUAGUCAGUUUACUAUCGAUGGAUCUACAAACUGCUUCUUCGUCAUCAGAACAAUCAUUUAAUCUAAACUAAAUAGAAAAAGAGAGAGACUGAAGCAGAGCACAACAUUCUUCAGUUCAUUAUAGUUUAAAACAGAAAAUCAACAAACCCACCAGAACGAGGCGCUGGAACCAGGGAAGACAAAUGUUUCUAUCAAUUGAGCGUUUGAUGAAUCAGCUCCUUUGGAGAAACAGACACAUGAAUGCUCCUAUGAAUGCUAUGAAUGCUCACGUUCAUCUCGGGCUCUGACGUUUUGAAUGUUGGCAGGCAGCCAAUCAUCACACUCCUCCUGGGUCUCAUGUCGACAGGUGGGAGCGUAGAUGCACAGCACGCGCGCUGUGGACAAACAGCUGAUGCGCACGAUCUGGAAUCUGACCUCAUCGAGGGCUGUUUGUGUGUGAAACCGUUUGGGUCAUGGCUCUUUGCUGCCAGCGGCUUCAGAUCAACAGACUUCCUGCAGCAGCUGUAAAGAUCGCGGCUCAUUUUUAACUCGAACAAGGUCGACGCUUCCACAUCAAGUGAAAACUAUUUCCACAAAUAUGUCAGAAAUGGUUUUAUUGUCUCUGUGUAAAAAGCCCACUAGCAGCAGCUCAAACAACACGAAGAGAGCGAUCGCUCGUGUACAGAUCCUCAGUAGGUGUGGUGCUUUUAUUAGUCUGGACUCCAGCACCUGCUUUACUGUCUCCUCCUGGUUUUAGAGCUGAGGAAAAUUCCACGGAAGCGUGAAUUCCUGUGACUGUGUAGCAUUUGUCAGACGUGCUGCUGGAGGAGCUUCACCUGAACAGGCCGAGCUGCAGCGCUAACGAGGCCGAGGUGCAGCACGUCUGCGGCAGCGCCGGCCUCGCUGGGGUUCAUGGGGAGAUAAAAGUGGAGCCGUCUCCAGCUCGGCUGACAUUCCAAGUCAGAGCCCUGUGUUGACUGCAGCCCACUAAUUGAAGACACAUUUGAGAGGCGUCUCUCUAAUACUGGAGCAAGAGGGACCUCCAGUGGCUGCGUGAGCCUCGAGGAAACGGUGCAGGAACCAGAGCAGCUUCCACAGGAAACGGGAGUGCAGUCUGAAGGUACCGUGGACGAGGUGUGAAGGCAGAGAUGGUGCCUGACGUUCAUGGAGGAGCAGCUUCAGCCGCUCUGAUGAUCCUCAUACUGAUCCUAGGAGACGUCUGGCUUCAGGCCCGUGAUGCUUCGCAGCUCUCUCACCUUGUCGUUUCAGCUGCUGAAGGAAAAGCUGGACGUCUGACGAGGAGGAGAUGAAUGAAGCGGACGCUGCGCUGCACACGGAGGCAUUUGAGGCGGUCGCCGACAGCUAGCGAGUGUUAGCGACGCGGCUACGUCAUCUGGACCAAGCGAGCGCGACUCACGUUAGCUGAGGGACCAAGGAAAAAAGCCUCCCAGCAUCAUCUGCACUCAAUCAGAAUAAUUAUCCCGAGAAAUGCACGGCAGAGCCCGUGAGAGGUGAGGGGAAUGAAGUACAGAGGCUAUUGGCAAUCACCUCUCUCCAGUCAUUAUUAGUCAUCGCUCGGCUGCGCUGGAAGAGGACCCAGACGGCUUGGGAGGAAGCCACGAGCAGCUGACAGACAGACGGACAGACGGACGGACGCACAGAGAAAAGGCCUGAUGUGACUCCAGUGCCCAGAAAGUCUCAGCAAUCUGUGAAGGCUCUGGCAGCACAGCGGCUCCUCUGUGGACUGGCACGCAUCCGCACACGUGUAUCAGCCUUUCCCCUCAGCCACAGACUGCCGAAGCAUUGGUCUCGUCACUCUCUAGAUGUGGAAGCUUUAAAAACACUCCAAGCACCCAGAAAACACCUUUUUGUUUCCUCCUUAUAAAAACAAAUCCUCCAGGAGGAUGGUGCGUUUGGGGUCCUGUCAGGAUUUGUGAAUACUCCAUAAAGGAGUUUUAGUGGAACAUUGUGGGGUUCCUGUAGCUCACAAUAAAACAAUCCUCAAAGCCCUCUAACUUUUUAAAGCAGACAGACAAAGAAUAAGACACUGAUUAGACUCCGGUGCCCAUGAAGGAUCAGUGUUAUAAAUGUUCUGGCAGCCCUACAGGUCCACGGGGGGCUGGCAGCUGUCCGCACAUGAAUAUCUGUUUUGAAUUUGUAUUUCAUCCCUGACUUUUUCUCUUGUCUGCAUUCCAAAGGUUUUAAAAGACUGAGAUCCGUAGAAUGUAAAGUUUCUUUUUGCUCAUAAAGGACUUACUGUAAGUAUGUCAGCUCCAA